rnacentral:rRNA from 1 species
UUCAACCUCUCGAAAGAGUGGUGCACUUUACUGUGAACGGACCAACAUCAGUUUUGACGGUCGGAUAAAAGUCCAAGGAACGUGGCUCUUCUUCGGAAGUGUGUUAUAGCCUUGUUCAUAAUGCGGCCAGUCGGGACUGAGGAUUUUUGCGCCUUGUGCGAGGAUGUUGGCAUAAUGGUUGUUAGCGACCCGUCUUGAAACACGGACCAAGGAGUCAACCAAUUACGCGAGCAUUUGGGUGUAAAACCCCUUGUGCGUAAUGAAAGUGAAUGUUGGUGGGAUUCUUUUAGAAGCACCAUCGACCGAUCUGAGUUCGCGAGGAUUUGAGUAUGAGUGUCAUUGGUUGGACCCGAAAGAAGGUGAACUAUUCUUGACUAGGCUGAAGCCAGAGGAAACUCUGGUGGAGGGUCGCAGCGGUUCUGACGUGCAAAUCGAUCGUCAAAGCUGAGAAUAGGGGCGAAAGACUAAUCGAACCUUCUAGUAGCUGGUUCCUGUCGAAGUUUCCCUCAGGAUAGCAGCAACGAAUCAAACAGUCUCAUGAGGUAGAGCAACGAUUAGAGGCCUUGGGGUUGAAACAACCUUAACCUAUUCUCGAACUCCGAAUAUGUGAGAAGUCCUUGUUACUUUAUUGAACGGGACAUUGGAUUAUCGGCUGCUUUGAAAAAAAAAAUU